GGGAGAUGGAGGAGGAGGAGACUUGUAGUAGUAUGGAGGAGGUGGAGAUUUCUUUGGUGGAGGAGGUGAUGUAUAAUGGUAUGGAGGAGGUGGAGAUUUCUUUGGUGGAGGAGGUGAUGUAUAGUGGUAUGGAAGGAGGUGGAGAUUUCUUUGGAGGAGGAGGUGAUGUAUA